UCGGGAAUUUUGGGCAAUGGGCGAAAGCCUGACCCAGCAACGCCGCGUGAGGGAUGAAGUAUUUCGGUAUGUAAACCUCGAAAGAAUGGGAAGAAUAAAUGACGGUACCAUUUAUAAGCUCCGGCUAACUACGUGCCAGCAGCCGCGGUAAUACGUAGGGAGCAAGCGUUGUUCGGAUUUACUGGGCGUAAAGGGCGCGUAGGCGGCGCGGUAAGUCACUUGUGAAAUCUCUGAGCUUAACUCGGAACGGCCAAGUGAUACUGCUGUGCUAGAGUGCGGAAGAGGCACCCGGAAUUCUUGGUGUAGCGGUGAAAUGCGUAGAUAUCAAGAGGAACACCUGAGGCGAAGGCGGGUUGCUGAGCCGACACUGACGCUAAUGCGCGAAAG
rnacentral:rRNA from 1 species